rnacentral:rRNA from 1 species
GUCUGUGGCCAUAACACCCUGAAUGCACCUGAUCCCAUCUGAUCUCCAAAGCUAAGUAGGGUCAGGCCAGGUUAGCACUUGGAUGGGGGAAUGCCGGGCCUGAUGGCG